rnacentral:lncRNA from 1 species
UUGACUUGUCCAGCUGAUAUAUGUAGUCAACGAGUGGAGAGGUGUCAUCAGUCUGCAACUGUUCUGUGGAGCUGUUCACAGUACCGUGACAGCUGAUGGUGUCUCCCAAAGUCUCCAUGUGUUCUUUCAUCAGUGGAAACAGCUCUUUGCAGACGUUUACCGACUCUUAUUCUAUCUUACACCCAAAAAAAAAAAAUUUCUUUAUCUUUGCAGACACCAAAAUGAUCCAUCAAAGAAAAAAAAAAAGCUAGAAAAAGACAUCAGAGAGGCAAAAGAAGCAUUCUACCUUGACUACCUAAACUAACAAGCAAAUGAGCAUCUCAGCAGUUC